AACGAACGCUGGCGGCAGGCCUAACACAUGCAAGUCGAGCGAGGACUUCGGUUCUAGCGGCGGACGGGUGAGUAACGCGUGGGAAUGUGCCCUUCUCUACGGAAUAGCCCUGGGAAACUGGGAGUAAUACCGUAUACGCCCUAUUGGGGACAGAUUUAUCGGAGAAGGAUCAGCCCGCGUUUGUUUAGGUAGUUGGUGGGGUAAUGGCCUACUAAGCCGAGGAUCGAUAGCUGGUUUGAGAGGAUGAUCAGCCACACUGGGACUGAGACACGGCCCCGACUGCUGGGGGGGGCAGCAGCCGGGAAUCUUGGAGAAGGGGCGGAGGGGGGAUCUAGACAUAGGGCGUAGCCGAAGAAGGCCUUCGGGUUGGAAAGCAAUUUUGGUGGGAGAGAAAAAAAGCUCGUUAAGAUGACGAUGUAAUGACGGUACCCAAAGAAUAAGCCCCGGCUAACUCCGUG
rnacentral:rRNA from 1 species